CUCCUGACUUCAAAUCAUUACAGCCUUGAGCAUGGCUUAAGCGACCGGCGCUUGCCUCUGUA
rnacentral:sRNA from 1 species